rnacentral:rRNA from 1 species
UACGAAGGGGGCUAGCGUUGUUCGGAAUCACUGGGCGUAAAGGGCGUGUAGGCGGUCAGGUAAGUGAGAUGUGAAAUGCCCCGGCUCACCCGGGGACCGGCAUCUCAUACUGCUUGGCUUGAGUACGGGAGAGGAUGUGGGAAUUCCUGGUGUAGCGGUGAAAUGCGUAGAUAUCAGGAGGAACACCGGUGGCGAAGGCGCACAUCUGGCCCGAUACUGACGCUGAGGCGCGAAAGCUAGGGGAGCAAACGGG